AUGGAUCCUGCAUUAGUACUACUUGAUGUAAAUCUGUCACGGACAAGUAAGGCCUUCGCCUCUCACUCCUCUCCUACCCACUACUCCUCUCGCUCUGCCUCCCCACAACCAAAAGGUUUGGUUUUCGUUCCACUCCCCACCCCGGCGAGGUUGCCUCCUCCAGCUAAUCUCCCUCGCCAUUGCCGUGCUUCGUUGGUUCGUCUUCCCUUCACUCCCGUAGUGACAUCAUCGAUGGGGACCAAAUGUCUCAUGGUGGUGACCAGCAUCCUGGCCGUGAUGACGGUCGUUUUCGGAAUCAUCAGCGCGGUUCUCUUGGCAAUGAAACAUCAUCAAGAUGACAAUGGCGAGUUCUCUACGUACCGACGAUCGCCGGCGAUGCCAUGUGGCGUGGUAGCGGCCGUGUUGGCAUCGAUGACGCAGAUUCUUGCCGGCGUGGCGAUCUGCUGCUUUGGGGCGUGGCGGGUAACUAAGGGGGCCAAGCGCAUCGCCGCGGUGGUCUUCUUCAUCACCUCAUGGGUCCUCGCGAUCAUAGCAGUGCUACUAUUUCUGGCAGGGGCCAUGUUAGGAUUUGAAGGCUCUGCAAAGAAAACUGUUGGGAAUGCUAGGAUUGUCGGAGGUGUCGCAAUUUUCGUGAUCGCGACAUUUUUGUUUCUUGUAGUCGCCGCCCUUGAUGUUGCCUCAUACCGCCUAGUUCGGAAGAAGGACCACUACCAAGCAUAUGUUGGCAGUAAUCCUCCUUUUGUGCCAUCUAAAGACGCUCCCUACGGUUCUGCUCCUCCACCGCCAAAUCAAGUCUAA
rnacentral:rRNA from 1 species